CGUAACACGUCAGAAAACGUCAUAGACACCGCCCACUCGGCGAACUGUCUCCGAGCGGAGCCGGGCUGGAUUGGAUUGGACCCCUGGGCGGGAAAGGACGGACGGGUUAAGUAGCCAAUCACCAAUUGCGCUCCAGCCAGAGGGGCGAUGUUCUUGGGGAGCCUGGGGAUCUGGAAGAAGUUCAGUGUGAGGACGAGUGUUAGGAAAUAAGGCUGAAGACAGAGGCAACCCUGGAGGAUCUUCUAACCCAUGUCAAGCAGUUGAGAAUUUAUGGAGUGAAAUAGCAAGCCAUUGAAGAGUUUCAAGCUUUCAUCCAGCUUUUAAGGGAAACUAAUAUCUCAUGAAAUUGUGAGGGCCUGGAAUCUUCAAAGAGCCAAGGAUUCUGCCAGACUGAGCAAUAGACUUGAUGAGCAUUCUCCACUUAAGAUCUGAACUAUGAGAAGUCGAAUCAAAGCAGUUCUUUUGUAAUUCCAAACAGCCAUUUAGACAUAUGAAGAAAUGAAAGUAAAGCAGUUCUAAAGACAAGGAAGAGGGUCAAUGAAAGAUCUACUUAAUCAGAAUCCUGACUGAAUUGACUCUGGGGAUCUGCCUUUUUACCAAGUUGCACAGAGGACCCUUGUGUAAAGUUUGAAAACAGUGUGAUAAGGCCAUCAUGAAGAUUAAAUGAGCCAUAUUCUAUGAAGCACCUGAAAUGUGCUCCCAAUGCAAUCACAAAGAUCUUUAAAAGUGGAAGAAGGUGGGAGAGGUCAGAGUGAUACGAAGAGAACUCAGUCUACCACUGCUGGCUUUGAAGAUGGAAGAAUGGGGCUAUGAGCCCUGGAUUGCGGGCAGCCUGCAGAAGCUGGGGCAGAGAUUCCACACAGGCACCUCUAGAAAAUAAUGCAGCCAGCCAAUCCUUAGACUUUAUCCCAGUGAGAGUCAAGUUGGACUUCUGACCUACAAAAGAGUAAAUAUCUAAAUUAUCUGUGGCAACAACUUGGUGGGGUCAACUCGAAUGUUUUUGUCGGCUGUUCUUGAAGACUUCUGGGUCUCUACAACCACAUUCUUUGGCUGGUGCCAGUGUUUAAGCACUCUGAAACUGCAUAGCAGCAUGUUUGAAGGUGGCCUGUCAAAUUUGGGAAACUGACGGUGUGACUGAGCUAGUCACAGGGGUCUUCACAGAAAAGGCAGUCGGGGUCCUGGUCAACUGGAGAUUCCAUCUGAAUGAUGAGAAGAAUACACCUUGGCAGCUGCUGGAUCAAGGCAAAUGAGAGACCCAUGGAGCUCACUAAAUCCAACUCUACAGCUUGGAGCUAAGCCUAACUUAGCCAAGUCUAAACCAGUUUGACCUCAGCCAAUUCACAGAUGUUUGAGCCAGAAGUAAGGUGCUUGUUGCUGGAAGCCAGUUAAAUUUUGAGAUCUUUUUGAAAAAUAUAUUGUCAUUGCAGACAUAGAUGCACAUAGUUUUCCACACUGUGGGAAGUCAAAUUAAGCAUGCUUAGACUUUUAAAGCAGAAGCCCAUUAUUAGUGGGGUGGCAAAAAUGUUACAAGUGACAUAGUCCUCCAAUUUCCUUCUUCUAGCCCUCUGCCUAAGAACUAGUGUACUUCAUUUUGAAGUGGAGCCCUAACGGGAGUGUUCAUCUUCUGUCAACAGGGUUAAGCCUCUUGACGCUUACUGGGCACUCACAGUUGUUAGUUCCCUGGAAGACAUGAAAGAGCUUGAUUGGUUCUGUAGUCGUCAGUCAAUAACCAACUGUAACAUACCUACACUUCCAACAAAAUCUUGAUUUGGGAAAUUGAGUGUCUGCUUAUAGUUAAUCCUCUAUUUUUUGACACCUAGUAGGAAAAACAUUUUCAAAAGAGCCAUGACCUGACUCAGUUAAUAUGCAAGGAAAAAUAAGCAGUUCCAAACUUGUCAGUUUAUCCAUCAUCCCUUAUCCAAAAUCCUUCAACUCUCUUGGAAUUAUUUUGUUCUUCAUACUUGCCCAACAAAUAUCUUACUCUUGUCUUGGACUUUAUUUUAUAGUUAUCUCACAUAAGCUCCUUGUGGCUAAGGGCACAUAUUUGGAAUCAGACUACCCUAGUUCAACUCUUGGGUCUACCAUUUAUUAGCUUGUAUUACUUUGGGAAAGAUAAUUAAAUUCUCCAGAUCUAAUUUCCCCCAUUAUAAGAUAAUAAUAGUUAUUACCUGCUAGGAUUGUCUUGAGAAGUAAAUUAGAUAAUUCAUAAGAACCAUUUAACACAGUGCCAGCCACAUAAUGAAGGCAUAGUAAGGGAAAGUUAUUAUGCUGUUGAUAAUACUUGUCUAGGCAGGGGUCUCAUAUUUUUCCCUGUAUCCAUUACUGUACAAUUCAUCUGUCCCAUGACAUUCUAAGAUUGUUUUAGAGUGAGUUGCUUCAGAGUUGAAUAAUUCUAAUAAUAUAUUCUCAUGUUUGGAAACAACUUGGAAUUCCAUUUAGUGUAGACAUCAACAAUGAAAUCGCUAGAGGAUGAGUAAUUUCUACAAUUUUUAUUCAUUAUAGAGAGACCAAUGGGUAUAAUGGUGAAAAGAACUGAGUAGAAGGUCAGGAGGUCAAAGAGACUGAGUUUAAACCCUCACUCUGCUGAGUACUGUUAAUAAUGGUAUGAUCUUAAGAGAACUAAUCUUUAGUUUUUCCCACCUUAAAAACAGAGUUGUCAUGAGUAUUUAAUAAUAGAGGGUAGUAUGUAAACUUCCUGGCAUAUAGCAACUGCUCAACAAAUAGAAGUUAUAGUUUUUUCUUAACUUGCCAAAGAGCCAAGGGAAAAAUGAAGAUUUUGUAGCCAAAGCCAUUUAUCUUUCUCUGUUAUGUGCCUAUCUGUUCCAGAAACAGAAUCAAUUCCUUGAACCUCAUCAAAGGAAGGAUUUGAACAUUUAAAAAAAAAUCAAUCUCUUUGGGUUUGUUAUUGCUUGUUUCCCAUACCUCAGAGACACAAAUACAAACCUUUAUAAUGUCAUCAGGAAGAAGAGGAGUCAAACACUCCUUAACUCAAUAAUUGCAAUGUUAUUAUUUUGCAAGGAAUAGAGUCAAAAUUCCAUUCACAUGAGGACUGUAACUUCUUCAUUACUCCUUGAGGCACGAUGUCCUUGAUUUUAAGUAGCUCAUGUAGAAACUAGUUGUAAGUCUUUAGCGGAGAGACUGUACUGGAAUUAUAGGAUCUACUUAGGGGUUUGAGCUUCCCCACCCACUUAGAGUGACAGUUCACACCUAUAAAAACACAAAAGUCCGGGGGUUUAUUAAACAUUAGGAGAUCCAAAGAGCCAAGACUUCUACCUGUAAAAGUGGUGCUUCCUAAGCAGAAGAAAUGGAAUUUCUCAGAGAAUACAGCUUGGCUUGACCAAUGGACUGUACAAGGAAGAUUAGGAGGUAAUUACUGGGGUAAAAGAGAAAUGGUUGCAUCUUUCUGGAACACUCUAAUAAAACUGAAAGUUUUUCCUGA